GGACAUGAGGGUGAUCUGGCUGUGACAUCUGUCACCCCACUGAUUACCAGGGUUGAUUCACCUGAUCUGGCUGGCUAGGUGGGUGUCCCCUUCCUCCCUCACUGCUCCAUGUCCAGCCCUCCAGAAUCUCUGUGCUUGGUUGAAGAGAAUAACUACCCCCAAUAGAGAAGGACUGUUUCCUCAAUCAAGGGUAUAGGAGUAACUGUACUUCCAUGCUAGAACCUCCAAACAAGUUUCCAACAUGUUAUGGUUUAUGUCUGUGUGUCCCUCCAAAGCCUCAUGCAGUCACGGGGCAGGCUUUUAGA
rnacentral:snRNA from 1 species